UAUUGUUUUUGGUGGUGCUCUUCAUUAUAAUAUUAACUGUGGUUUGUUGCUAUAUAUAUAUAUAUACUAGCGUAUAUUCGUGCCUAAAGGCACGGUGUAAAUAAUGUUAGGAUUAGAAUAUAAUUGUAAUAUGCCCUUGAAAAUUAGCAUUAUAAGAUGUUAUGUCUGCACACUUGUGCAUACUUAAAUAGUCUUUGAGCAUGUGAGCUCAUAUUAUAUAAUUGUAAUAUGCCCUUGAAAAUUAGCAUUAUAAGAUGUUAUGUCUGAACACUUGUGCAUACUUAAAUAUGGCAUGGUUAUAUUACAUUUUUGAAGAUGUAGGUGAUUUUGUUGAUUCAUAUUCUUAUAUAUAUCCACUACUGUCAUACUUAAAAUUAUUUUUUAUAAUAUUUUUAAAACUAAUAUUAAAAAAUAUUAUUUUUAAAAAUAUUAUCGCAAAUGUCACAUUGGCAACCAUAUUAGAGAGUAGGUGCAUAUGUGGCAUUCUAUGAAAAAGAGUAAUAUAUAUAUAGCAUUUUUUGUUUUGAAAAUUGGUUAAAUUAGUUUGAAUGACUAGCUAAAAUAAAGAGUAUGGUUGGAACGCACAAUAGCUAAACUAAUUAGGUAAAAUAAAGAGUGUCAUUUUUUUGUACUUUAACUAGUAAAAAAUAAAGAGUGUGGUUGAAGAUGCUCUAAGAGUGUAAAUCUUAUGAUCAAAUUGCAUGACAGGAAGUAAAUAGGUUCAUUAGUUGAAAAUUUAGAUGCAGUGGCUGGAUGUAAUUUGUGCUAGGGCUUUUUAGGAGAGCUGAAAACCCUUUUUAGAUAAACAUAGAAGUUUCAUCAAAGAGGGGGUAUUGUUUGGUGUAGUGAUAAAUGCUUGAGUUCCCGUGUAUGAAAAUAUGGGUUGGAAUAAUAGGUCAUGGGAAUCUAAGAUUGAAUUUGUUUUAGAUGGUUAGGCUGACAAUAUUUUAAUCAUCAGGAAAAAAGUAUAGGGUGUCAAUGUGUGUUAUUUUAUCUUGCAUUUUUUAUAUUCAUUUGCAGUAACUUGUUUUCAAAUUCAUUUUUUGUUCCCAAAAGAAAGAAAAAAUGGCUUCAUCUUUAAUUCGGCUGGCUGCUGCUGCUUCUGCUGCAAUGUUAUAAAAAUGAAUUAAAAAAUGACACUCUGCAACAUGUGGUGUGCUGUGUAUACAACUAAGGAAGUGAAUGGUUUGCGGAAUGUGGGUGAAGUUGCACUUGUCGGGCAUGCAUGUUGAAGGGAAGGUAACAACUAGUAUAUUCUUAUUUUUAGACUAGACUCUGUAUGCAUGGUAUAUUUUUUCAUUUGUAUUAUAUGUUCAUAGCCUUUAAUGAAUUUGAAUAUUAUAUGAACGUUGAAAACUCAUGGUUAAGAUAUCUGUUAGACUUGUGGUUAACAAAUUAGAAAACUUGUUGAAUCUUUUGAUUGUUUGGUCUUGAAAUUCGACUUUCGAGAGCAGAGUGUUUGAACCUUGUUUUGUUUUUUGCUAGAAAUGUCCUGUUUAGGUUUUUGCCUCAUUUGAAUUGUUUUCAACACUCCUUUCGGGUUAGAUUUUAUUUGAAUUUAUCAGUAUUGUGAAGAUUUUUAUGUGUUUCAAUUGAAUUUCAAGUCUCACUUGAUGUCAUACAGUGUUUGGUAUGUUCCUCCCCCCCCACCCAUCCCAAACCACCACCAUAUUGUUUUGUUUAAGUGUUCUGAUACUUGUAAUUUCUCUGCUUCAUAUGUACUGCAGACAUGAGGAGAGAUGUGCAGGAGAUAUUCAAGACGACUCAUUAAAUUCAAGUUAUGAUGUUUUCUGCAACACUCAGCAAGGAAAUCUGUCCUGUUUGCAAGAAAUUUAUGCAAGAUAUCUUGGGAAACAUGAAGAAAGAUCCAGCGUCGUUGAUGCUGUUUACUGUUACAAAGAAACUGCACAAGCUUGGCUAUGUGCUUAAGAUGAGGGUUUCUUUUUGUAUCCUAUAACAUUUAAAUGUUAUGCAAAUCAACCAGGUUCGGUAGGUUGCUAUGAUUUGUAUAUGGAACCCUUUUGAAGAUAAGUUCUUUGCUAAAGCUAAUUAGUCAUUAUGAAAAACCUGCUGAGUUAUGCAGAUCAUACCUCUAGAAUUUUGAUUGUUGUACACUUAUACAUCCUUAUAAUGUUUCUUUGACAGAUUUAUCCAUUAGAGGAUGGUAAAGCGCGUUCUAUGUGGGAGGAAAUAGGAGCUCAAAUCUCAAUCCUAAGUCCUGACAGAUAUGGCCAUAUUGAUUGGUCAAUCUUUGAAGGUAUUAUUGUAAACUCACUUGGAGCAAAAGAUGCUAUUUCAAGGCGCGCGCUACAGCACCAUCAGAAUCUUCUUCACUUCUUACAGCAUAUGAUGGCUUUGGUCCCUUAGAUUGUGAUAGAAUCCAUGUUUCUUCUUGUGGGCAUGUUGUACAUCAAGCAUGUCUUGAUCGUUAUUUAUCAUCACUGAAAGAAAGUUGUGAUAAUAUUGAUAAAGUAGGGUUUCUUUAAACAUGUUGCUGGACAUGUGCAUGUAUUGAAAAGGCAUAUGCAAUGUUUUUAUGCUGCUAAUACAGGUAUGUUAGACGAAUUGUUUUUUAAGGAGGACUCAUUGUAGAUCCAGAACAGGGGAGUGUCUCUGCCCUGUAUGUCAUGGACUUGCAAAUUCAGCAUUGCCUACAUUACCUGGAGAUUCUCAAAAGGUUUCUAGACCACCAAUGGUUCAACUGUCAGUUGGCCAGAUGCUACAGGCCAAUUAUCCUCUACAAACAGGGAAACUGAUUUCCAUUGCUUUCGGGAAGCCUUGUCUCUUUUACGUAGUGCUGCUGAUGUUACUGGGAGGAGUAAAAUCCUAAAAGCUUUUCCAAUGCAUCGAAAUGGAAGGAUAAGACCGAAUCCUAAAUCCAUGUUUUGUGUACUAUCUGGAAUGUAUUUUCCAGGCAAACAGGAUAGGAUUUCAGGAUUUGCAAGCCACUCGGUAAUUAUGUGGGACACUCUUAAGUACUCUCUUAUUUCAGGAUCUGCUGAUGGUCUGCUAGUUUGCUGCUGCUGCUGCUGCCGGUGUGCUGCUGCAGAAUUUUGCUGGGUUGCUGCUGCUGCAAUGUUGCUGUGAAGUGGGCCGCUACUAGAUGCUGGUCUGCUGCAAAUUUGGGUUGUUAGUUUCAUGAUUUCAUUUUGUUAUCUGCUAUUUUUACUAUGGGUUCACAAUUUGGAUGUAUUUGAGUAUUUUAGUGAGUUUACAUUUUUAGGUUUUAUACAACGCUUCCAAAAACAUAUUUUUCAGCAGUGUUUUUUUACCUACACAUCAACUUUAGGUGAUUUAAUAUCAAGGUUAUUAGUUUGUAAUAGUAGUGCCUGAAGGAUGCAUCUUGUAAAUAUGUAAAUCUUAUAAAAAUAUAUAUAUGAUUUUCAAUUUUUUUUGCCGCUAC